GACGAACGCUGGCGGCGUGCCUAAUACAUGCAAGUUGAGCGCUAAAGGUUUGUACUUGUGCCAACUGGGUGAGCAGCGAACGGGAGAGUAACGCGUGUGGCAUCUGCCUGUGUUCGGGGUACAAUAUGUGGAAAGGAGUUCUAAUACCGCAUAAAAACUUGAAACACGGUGUGGAAUGGUGAGAUUUGGCAUUUCGUCAUGCAAAGAUGAUCUCGCGUUGUAUUAGCUAGGUGGUGAGGUACAGGCUCACCAAGGCGAUGAUACAUAGCAGAAGUGAGAGGGCGAUCGGCCGCCCUGGGACUGAGACCCGCCCCAUACGCCUACGGGAGGCAGCAGUAGGGAAUCUUCGGCAAUGGACGAAAGUCUGACCGCGAAACGCCGCGUGAGUGAAGAAGGUCUUCGGAUCGUAAAACUCUGCCGGUAGAGAAGAACGUUGGUGCGCGUGGAAAGCUCAUCAAGUGACGGUAACUAGCAAGAAAGCGACGGCUAACUACGUG
rnacentral:rRNA from 1 species